rnacentral:rRNA from 1 species
UGGCUCAGGACGAACGCUGGCGGCGUGCCUAAUACAUGCAAGUAGAACGCUGAGGACUGGUGCUUGCACCGGUCCAAGGAGUUGCGAACGGGUGAGUAACGCGUAGGUAACCUACCUCAUAGCGGGGGAUAACUAUUGGAAACGAUAGCUAAUACCGCAUAAAAGUGUUUAACCCAUGUUAAACAUUUAAAAGGUGCAAUUGCAUCACUAUGAGAUGGACCUGCGUUGUAUUAGCUAGUUGGUGAGGUAACGGCUCACCAAGGCGACGAUACAUAGCCGACCUGAGAGGGUGAUCGGCCACACUGGGACUGAGACACGGCCCAGACUCCUACGGGAGGCAGCAGUAGGGAAUCUUCGGCAAUGGACGGAAGUCUGACCGAGCAACGCCGCGUGAGUGAAGAAGGUUUUCGGAUCGUAAAGCUCUGUUGUUAGAGAAGAAUGAUGGUGGGAGUGGAAAAUCCACCA